UAUGAGAUUAGUGAGGCCCUUGGGGUU
rnacentral:piRNA from 1 species